rnacentral:pre_miRNA from 14 species
CAGCCCGGCGCGNGCGGGGGGCUCUGGGCAGGAUAUCAUCGUAUACUGUAAGUCGGCUAUGAGACACUACAGUAUAGAUGAUGUACUACCCCGGCCUUUCCCCUCCUCGGCGCCCAG